GGUUGGACGAGAUAUAAGCUGUUUCAUUUAAAAUUUAUAUAGAAUUUUAUUUUUUAGUUAAAAAGCUAAAAUAUGAUCAAAAGACGAGAAGACCCUAUAAAUCUUAAUUAUUUAAUAAUUUUUAAUUUAUUUUGGUUUUUUUUGUUAUAAAUUUAUUAAAUAAUUUUAUUGGGGUGAUAUUAAAAUUUAAAUAACUUUUAAUAAUUUUUGUCAUUUAUUUAUGAUUAAGUGAUCCAUUAUUAGUGAUUAAAAAAUUAAGUUACUUUAGGGAUAACAGCGUAAUUUUUUUGGAGAGUUCUUAUCGAUAAAAAAGUUUGCGACCUCGAUGUUGGAUUAAGAUUCAUAUUUAAAUGUAGAAGUUUAAAUAUUAAGUCUGUUCGACUUUUUAUUCUUACAUGAUCUGAGUUCAAACCGGUGUAAGCCAGGUUGGUUUCUAUCUUUGAUUUAAUAAAAUAUUUUAGUACGAAAGGAAUUAAUAUUUAU
rnacentral:rRNA from 1 species